rnacentral:snoRNA from 1 species
UGGAAGUGAUGAAAUAGAGAUAAUCGGAUGUCUCUUUGAACGGAGAGUGUGUGUGAUAAAUGGAAUUUAAUCCAGGUCAGGCUGGGGGUGGGGUGUGGGGAAUACGUGUGUGUGUGCAUGUGUAGAAAAGGCUUUAAAUGGGGGCACUGAUUGCUGUGCUGAUUCCGGAGUGCAUCUGAGGCAUGUUGUUAAGAUCUGGGGUGCCAAUUCACAACAUUGCCGAUGAUUAAAGCCCAAAACAAGCCCACCAAGACAAGCCUAGGCAUCCUAAAUCUCUAACAGGUUCAUUAAUGAAAGUGAUCCUGUGAUCUGAUCUGA